CCUACGGGGGGCAGCAGUGGGGAAUAUUGGGCAAUGGGCGCAAGCCGGACCCAGCAACGCAGCGUGAAGGAAGAAGGCGUUCGGGUUGUAAACUUCUUUUGACAGGGAAGAGGAGAAGACGGCACCUGUCGAAUAAGCCAUGGCUGACUACGCGCCAGCAGCCGCGGUAAUACGGGGGGCGCGAGCGUUAAUCGGAAUGACUGGGUUUAAAGGGUGUGUAGGCUGUGAGGUAAGUCAGCGGUGAAAUGCCCCCGCUCGACAGGGUGAAGUGCCAUUGAUACUGCCUUGCUGGAAUGCGGAGGCCGUGGGGGGAAUGUGUGGUGUAGCGGUGAAAUGCAUAGAUAUCACGCAGAACACCGAUUGCGAAGGCAUCUCACGAAACCGCGAUUGACGCUGAUGCACGAAAGCGUGGGUAUCAAACAGGAUUAGAUACCCCAGUAGUC
rnacentral:rRNA from 1 species